UACGAAGGGGGCUAGCGUUGCUCGGAAUCACUGGGCGUAAAGCGCACGUAGGCGGAUCUUUAAGUCAGGGGUGAAAUCCUGGAGCUCAACUCCAGAACUGCCUUUGAUACUGGGGAUCUCGAGUCCGGGAGAGGUGAGUGGAACUGCGAGUGUAGAGGUGAAAUUCGUAGAUAUUCGCAAGAACACCAGUGGCGAAGGCGGCUCACUGGCCCGGUACUGACGCUGAGGUGCGGAAGCGUGGGGAGCAAACAGG
rnacentral:rRNA from 1 species